rnacentral:rRNA from 1 species
UACGGGGGGGGCAAGCGUUGUUCGGAAUUACUGGGCGUAAAGGGCUCGUAGGCGGCCAACUAAGUCAUACGUGAAAUCCCUCGGCUUAACCGGGGAACUGCGUCUGAUACUGUUUGGCUUGAGUUUGGGAGAGGGAUGCGGAAUUCCAGGUGUAGCGGUGAAAUGCGUAGAUAUCUGGAGGAACACCGGUGGCGAAGGCGGCUUUCUGGGCUGUUCUUGACGCUGAGGCGCGAAAGCUAGGGGAGCAAACGGG